CCUACGGGUGGCAGCAGUGAGGAAUAUUGGUCAAUGGGCUUACGCCUGAACCAGCCAAGUCGCGUGAGGGAAGACUGCCCUAUGGGUUGUAAACCUCUUUUGUCAGGGAACAAAGGCGGGGACUAGUCCCCGGAUGAGGGUACCUGAAGAAAAAGCAUCGGCUAACUCCGUGCCAGCAGCCGCGGUAAUACGGAGGAUGCGAGCGUUAUCCGGAUUUACUGGGCGUAAAGCGCUCGUAGGCGGUAUGUCAAGUCAAGGGUGAAAUCCCCGCGCUCAACGUGGGAACUGCCUUUGAAACUGGCAAACUGGAGUGUGUGAGAGGAUAGUGGAAUUCCAGGUGUAGGAGUGAAAUCCGUAGAUAUCUGGAGGAACAUCAGUGGCGAAGGCGACUAGCUGGCACAUAACUGACGCUGAGGAGCGAAAGCGUGGGUAGCAAACAGGAUUAGAUACCCGUGUAGUC
rnacentral:rRNA from 1 species